rnacentral:rRNA from 1 species
UACGUAGGUGGCGAGCGUUACUCGGAAUUACUAGGCGUAAAGCGCGUGUAGGCGGGAGCUUAAGUCUGUCGUUAAAGCUCAGGGCUCAACCCUGAAAUGUCGACAGAAACUGGGCUUCUUGAGUGCGGUAGAGGAGAUCGGAAUUCCAGGUGUAGCGGUGAAAUGCGUAGAUAUCUGGAAGAACGCCAAAGGCGAAGGCAGAUCUCUGGGCCGUUACUGACGCUGAGACGCGAAAGCUAGGGGAGCAAACAGG